GUGGGGAAUUUUGGACAAUGGGCGCAAGCCUGAUCCAGCAAUGCCGCGUGCAGGAAGAAGGCCUUCGGGUUGUAAACUGCUUUUGUACGGAACGAAACGGUCUGGGUUAAUACCCUGGACUAAUGACGGUACCGUAAGAAUAAGCACCGGCUAACUACGUGCCAGCAGCCGCGGUAAUACGUAGGGUGCAAGCGUUAAUCGGAAUUACUGGGCGUAAAGCGUGCACAGGCGGUUUUGUAAGACAGGCGUGAAAUCCCCGGGCUCAACCUGGGAAUUGCGCUUGUGACUGCAAGGCUGGAGUGCGGCAGAGGGGGAUGGAAUUCCGCGUGUAGCAGUGAAAUGCGUAGAUAUGCGGAGGAACACCGAUGGCGAAGGCAAUCCCCUGGGCCUGCACUGACGCUCAUGCACGAAAGCGUGGGGAGCAAACAGGAUUAGAUACCCCGGUAGUCC
rnacentral:rRNA from 1 species